rnacentral:rRNA from 1 species
AUUGAACGCUGGCGGCAGGCCUAACACAUGCAAGUCGAACGAGUGGCGGACGGGUGAGUAAUGUCUGGGAAACUGCCUGAUGGAGGGGGCUAACUACUGGAAACGGUCGCUAAUACCGCCUACCAUCCGAUGUGCCCAGAUGGGAUUAGCUUGUUGGUGGGGUAACGGCUCACCAAGGCGACGAUCCCUAGCUGGUCUGAGAGGAUGACAAGCGACAAGGGAACGAAGACACGGUCCAGAUUCCAACGGGAGGCAGAAGGGGGGAAUAUUGCAAAAGGGGCGCAAGCCGGAUGAAGCCAGGCGGGGGGGAGGAAGAAGGCCUUCGGGUUGUAAAGUACUUUAAGCGGGGAGGCGUUACCCGCAGAAGAAGCACCGGCUAACUCCGUGCCAGCCGCCGCGGUAAUUC